rnacentral:piRNA from 1 species
UAGACGGCAUCAUCAGAAGAA